GAAGAGGGAAAGAUGCAAGUUAACAGAAAGGACUGCCUGUUUGUGGAGGACUGCAUAAUAAUCCAUCAUCCCUAGAAUUGUUCAAGGAGGAAAAACAUACCACAUACCAGGAAAUGCCUAACUAAUCCUCUGAUUGAAGAACCUCCAGUGAUCAGAAGCUGGUUAAUUCUCUGUGAUCAGUCACCUUUGAUCCCGCUAAUGAAAGUGCAGAUGUAAAAGUGUUUCCAGAGACAAUAUCACUACCAUAUCAUUGGAUGAUGGGAGUGGAAUGAGAGGCUGUGAGAACGGCAUGGCUACUGUGUCACUGUUGCUUAUCCCUCCUCAGGAAUUUGGGCAGUGCUGCUGCCUGCUUCUCUGAAGAGCUUUUUAUAAUUUUAAGAAAGCAAGAUCACCACUACCCUUGGUAAGCAGUCCACCCUCCUCAAAUUUGCACAGGGGCCCCCAUUCCUGUCAAAAUCACCAUCCCAUUUCUGUUGCAGAUUUUAAAAGUGGCAAGAAUGAAGAGGGCAUUUCAACACAGUUCUACAGUCAUCUGAGCAAGUGACCACCACCACCACACCUGAAACCAAGAUGGUUGGGAUGCAGGAAGUUCCAUGCCAAAUGGCAGCUAAGUCAGGAACAUAAUAUGAAUUCAUCCACCCACCAAUUAAGGAUAAUAAGCAUGAACCUAACUAAAGUCCUUCCCACCCCCACAAUCACCAUGAAAUGAUGAAAUGAGACUCAUAAGACUGUCAAGAGAGACCUUUGUAAUACUGUCUCAGUUCCAUAGAAUGCCUUUUCUUAAAAAAAAAAAAAGUUUCAGCUGCGGGGGAGGGGGGAAGAGAAGUAUUACACAGUUCCCUUCCUUAGAAAAGCCACACUAUAUAUUUUUGAAAUGCAGGCAUCUUAAUGCCUCCCGUAGAAAAUUGUCCAUUUUACUGGUAGUGUAUUGCAUUGCUUGAAACAUAUUAAGGUCAUUCGCAUGACCAGUACUAGGUCAGGGAGGGCGAACCUACCUUUCCCCCAGAUGAUUAUUUGUCUUCUGUUUGGUGUGCUGCUUACGUGCCCACCUGAUCCACACUGCUGUGAGCCCGGGAGCAUCUCUGGAGUCCGGGAGCAUGGUGCAUCUCUGGAGUCCGGGAGCAUGGUGCACGUAAGAUUUCCCCUCAUGCCGGGUGCUCUAGGUGCCUAGCUCUGUGUCUACUCAGUUCAUCCUAAGCAUACACAUGACCCUGGACCUAGGUAAAAGCCGGAGGGAAAUUCCCAGGCUAUCCAGGGAUAAGAAUAUAAGAAUAGCCCUGCUGGAUUAGGCACAAGGCCGACCCAGUCCAGCAUCCUGUUUCACACAGUGGCCCACCAGAUGCCUCUGGGGAGCCCACAGGCAAGUGGUAUGUGCAUGCCCUCUCUCCUGCUGGUGCUCCCAGAUGUAGCACUGGGAUUGACCUAGAUCCUGGCAAUUCACAUGAGCAGCCCUAUCCAGGUAGGGCUGCCCAAGCCUGGGUAGGGCUUCUCUUGUCUAGUGUCUAGAUCCUAGUAUACAUUGUUCUUUGUGGAGGAGCAUCAUCACAUCAGGAAGAAAGCAGCUAAGACACAAGCCAGCUGCAACUACUAUUGUAGUCAUAAACUGAAUUCUGGACAGAUGGGUGUUCAGGAAUGCACUACAGCUAAUCUCUUUCCUCCAAGUGCUAUGUUAGUACAUAAGACAUGAAUCCCUUAGAACUAUCAUUCUCCAAACCUUGUUAUCUGAAUUAGGUUUCAUUAAAAAUCCAACAUGGUUCCAUGAAACUCAGCAAGGAAAGAUGAAGAAGCAAAUAUGAACACAUUGGCAAGGCAGCAGCUUUAUCAAAAAAGGGUUAGAACGUAUAACUGCAUAAGAAUUAAGAAUGUGUCAGUAUAACAUGAAACGCCAGUGCUAGGAAAUUAUUUGUUCCAGAAUAAGCUCACUGAAGCAAACCUAGAAAAAUAACUGAAUGAAGUCAGCACUGGAAAGAGGCAACAACUAGAUACAAAGACCCUACCCAGAUCUCUCCUAUGAUGGAAAAUUCAGAUUUUUCCUAUGAUGGAUUUUUUGUUAGUUACCGUAGCAUACACAUGCACACAUACACCACCCCAAUCCUCUGCUAAGAGCAAUUUCAUGCACAUAUUCAUGUUCCACACUUCCAUGUAUGAAGAAGCUUCACACAUGCAUUUCAUAUACUAGGAAACUGAGGCCAUUCACAGCUCUCUGUCUCAUGGUGAAAAUGCUGGAAUACAUGCAUACGAUGACUUCAGCUAUAAAUCAGAGUGCACACUUAAUCUAUGUGGAUAUGUGGAGCAGUUCUAAUUCCCAUAUAAACCUGCCCAUUUCUUAAGGUCAUCAUCAGAAGUCCAGGUCUCCCAGACAUUAGAAGUUAUGUGAAUGUUGAUCAGGGACAGGAUCAUAUCUGUAGUGGUGCCACAUUUGGGGGGCACCUUCAUGAGGCAUGUUGGUGUGGCCCCAAUACUAUUGGUUAUUAGCUGCAAAUUAAAAUGAUUUUAUUUGCUUAGUAAAGAUUACAUAAGUCUCUUUAUAUAUAAUUCGCUAAGACAUACCCAUGGCUAAUCUCAUGUGUGGCAGCUCUCGCGAGAGUUUGCAAGCAGCUGCCAGGAUAGCGAUGGGGAAGAAAAUAGCAAUGGCAGUCACCGGCAGGCUGGAGGAGGCAGCGGGCUGGCAGGCCACUGGGAGGCAGCAGGUGGGAGGAACAUGGCGGCUGGUGGGAGGAACAGCUGCAGGAAGAAGCACAGUGGCCAGAGGCAGGAAGCAGCAGAGGGCAAGAAGAGGAGGUCAACAGUGGGAGGUGACAGCCCGGAUGGCCGGUGGGUGGGAGCCGGUGGCAGGCUGGUGGGCUGAGGUGGACAGCGGGAGGGUGGACAGCCGGGUGGCUGGCUGGCUGGCCCGCAGGGAAAAUAAAUGCCAGCUGUGGGUGGGUGAAGGGUGGGGAGAUAAAAUGUCUGUGGCAAAUUAGAGGGGCAGAUGCUCUGCACCAGCUAGUGAUAAUUAUUCUGUCAAUGAUUGAUGUGCUUGGAUUUUACCAUGAUCUUCCAUGGGAAACUGCCUUGGGGGGCCAAUGAGGUAGACAGGCAAGACAUAGUCAUCCAAAAAAGGUUUACAUGUGGGAUGCAUUACCUGGAGAACAAGUCCUUUCAUAAACAUAAAGAAAAAUAAAUAUGUUAAACAAACAGGUAACUCUUUAGUUGCGAGUUAUAUACAUUUAUAUGUUCUUCUCCCUAAGAUAAAAAAAUAAAAAAUAGGGCCAAUUAGGCACAAAAUUAAAUCAGUAAGUUGGCCCAGUGUUGUUGUUUUUUAACAACUUAAAUAACAGCUAUGCUAUUAAUGGUGAGUUCUCCCCCACCUUUAGGAUUGGAACACAGAAAACAGGGAGGCAAUAUUUUACUGUUUCCCCUCAUUCCAUGGUCCAAACGAAAAUGCCCCCACCAAACUGCUAUAAUCCUCAGAAGGGAAGGUCUCAUUGUUACCAAUAAAAGCUUUCCUGCCAGGGCUAGUAGCAGCUUAGAGGACAUGAUUUUUAUUCAGAUUAGAAUACAGCAUUCAUGUCCUUCCAUGGCUGUUUUAAAAAAAAAUGCAGGGCCCAACUAUGUGUUUAAUGUACUGUGUAGCUUGGCCUUACUGCACUUAUAAUGGUAUCACAGCCAAUUUGGACAAGUAAUUAUGUUCAGUCCAGAUUGAAGAAUUUCAGGACCAUGGAGAGCAGAAACUGAUUUGGAAACUAUUCUUUGGAAGCAUGUUAGUAGAUUUGCAUUUGGGAGUUCUGCCUUCAAACAUUAACAUUCUCUUUCUUAGGGAGGCAAACAUAUCCUUACCCUGGAGGGGACUGUCCUUUGAAGGGGGCAGAGCCAACUAUUCCUUGCAGGUCCUGGUGUUGCAGGUCGGGAGAGAAAGAGAGUGACAAAUCAAACAUUAUAAACACAUGAAUCAUUGUGCUUGAGAUCUACAACAAGAACAGCUGCAUCUGCUUCUCUGGAAAUUAUUUUCACAGCUUGCCUGGCCACCUCCUGCUCAUGUUUCCUCUCAUGCAUUAUGCACCAAAGCUAGUCACCCCCGCAUUUUGCUGGUAGGGUGGCUUGUGUUGCUUUUGCAGCUGCUUUGAUGUCCUCCAAGAGCCCUGGUUUCAUUUUACGUCUGCUUGGCUAAUGUAUCAGUAAGUCACAGCCUGGUAUGUAUGUUUAUUUCCCAUGGAGUAGAAGCCCAUCUUCUAAACAAAGAACAAAUACAGGACAAAUAAGAAGAAAUAUACAUUUUCUAAAAACAUGUUCCAUUAAAAUUGUUGCCUCUGCUUUUUGAUCAGAUCUUGAAAGAACUUCAUUAAUUUUUGCCGUCCUUCUGUGGAGCAGCAGGUGAGAACAGACUGAAUUGAUAAACACUGAUAAAGCACCUAUGGAUAAAGUAAUGUGUUUUAGAAGAAUCCCUUCUACUUGGCCCCUCUCCAGAUGAGACUGACUGUGUCAACAUCCAAGGUGAGGUGGGUGGUAACCACAGAAAGGGCCAUUUUGGUCGUGGUGUCUCAUUUUUGGAACUCCCUCCCUGGAGAGAUAUACCAGGCACCUGCACUGCUCUCCCUUCAGUACCAAAUAACUUUGUAUUCUCCCAGGACUUCUGAUGUUUUAAUUGCACUGCUGUUUUGAAGAGUGGCUGAUGUGAUGCACAGCUAUCACCUUCAUAAUGGACUGCCCUAAGACUACUGCAGACUUUUGAAGCAACAGUUGCAGAAGCUACUGUUGUUUCUGGAGGUUUGCCCAUUCACAACAAUAGAGAGACCUUCAGAAACACAGCUUCAUAGGAACAUGGGAAGCUGCCUUAUUCUGAGUCAGACCAUUCGUCCCUCUAGCUCUCUGUUGUCUACACUGACUAGAAGUAGUUUCUCCAAGGUUUCAGGAAGGGUCUUUGCACCCUCAAGCAAAGCACAACACUAAUAAAAACACCAAACACUGAAUUAGGAGAAACGGCACAACUUUAUUAAAUAAAUUAGAGAAGUGGAUUUUGAAAUGAUUCCACCCCAAUGCAGUGUGAACCUAACCUAGGCUGGUAGUCAGACAAACUGUCCUUUCCCGAGCUUUAGGCAACACACCCUGGCUCAGAGCCUGGACUCAGCACAAUGCUGAUUCCUACUUAUAUUCACCAAUUCCUAAGGAUCAGAAGCCUUUUAUGGACUUCACCCCCCAAGCUUUGCAGCCUUUGAAGUAUGUGAAGUCCUGAAGCAGAUAAGAGUAUAAAUCAUAGUGCCUGAGCUUCAGAGCCUUUAAGGAUCUAUGAAUUACUCACCUGCAUUAACUAGCAUAAGGAUGUUCAUUGAUGAGAACCCCACUAUUUCUGAACCAAACACACACUGCACCUGCUCGCUGGGAUCUAACUAGGCUAACUAGAGAAGGAAAACAGAACAAGGUAGGCAAAAACAAAAACAAAACAAACAAACAAAAAAAAAACCCUUCCACCACAGGCCAAUAAAGUGGGAAACAAAAAAUUCCUACCUGUCCCCCCCCCCAAAAAAAGUGAUCAGCGAAGCCCCCUCUAUCCCCAGGAAAAAGGGGGAGAGCCCACCCAAAUGAAGACUGAGCCUGGGAGGAGAGUGUUGGCUCAACAGCCACUCAAACCACACCCCUCCCAGGGCUUAGCCAAUCAAAAUAACCUCAUGCCUCCCAAAUAUGAAGGUGAGGCAAAUCGCCACCCCCAGCACAAGGCUAGGAGGUGGCCAUAUUCACAGCCCUACCUAGAAAUGCCAGGGAGUGAAUGUGGGACCUUCUGAAUGCAAAGCAGAUGGUCUACACCUGCCUUUGGAGUCUGCAGCAGCCUCAGCCAGGGGGAGGGACCAUUGUGGAGGUGGUACGUUGUGUGUCACAUCAGCCACUCCUUUUAAUACCGUUGUGAUAGUUUUAUGCUUUAACUUGUAAACCGCCUUGAGAAACCUGUUAAAGGGAACCUAAAAACAACAUAAACAAACAGAUAUAUGCGAGCCAGCAUAGUGUAGUGGUUAGAGUGUUGGACUAAGACCGGGAAGGCCCAAAUUUGAAUCCCCAUUCAGCCAUGCAACUCACUGGGUGACUCUGGGCCAGUCAUGUAUCUCUCAGUCUAACCUACCUAACAGGGUUGUUGUGAGGAUAAACAUAAACAUAACUAUGUACACUGCUCUGAGCUCCUCAGAGGAAAAGCAGGAUAUAAAUGUAAAUAAAUAAAUAAUAAAUGUCGAUAUUUUCUGAUGUUUUAGCCCACAUACAGUGUGGGUAUGUGCCUCAAGGCAGAGCCCUUCACUUUUAAGAACCCCGAACA